GGUUAAAUAAUGAUGUGAUUUGAAACAGGUGAUGUCAACAGGUGAUUGUAAUUAUGAUUUGGUACAAAAGCAGCAUCCAAGAAAGGUCUAGUCCUUUAGGAGUAAAGAUGGGCCGAGGAUCGCCAGUUUGCCAACAAAUACGUGAGAAAAUUAUUGAAAUGUUUUAAAACAAUGUUCCUCAAAGAAAGAUAGGAAGACAUUUGCUUAUUUCACCUUCAACAGUGCAUAACAUAAUUAAAAGAUUCAAGGAAUGUGGAGGAAUUUCAGUGCGUAAAGGACAAGGGCGCAAGCCUAAGCUGAACAACCGUGAUCUCCGAUCCCUCAGGCGGCACUGCAUCAAGAAUCGUCAUUCAUUUAUAAGCGAUAUCACCACAUGGGCUCAGGACUACUUUGGCAAACCUUUGUCAAGUACCACAAUACGUAGUUACAUCCACAAAUGCCAGUUAAAACUGUACUGUGCCAAAAGGAAGCCCUAUGUUAACAGUGUCCAGAAGCGCCGUCGACUUCUCUGGGCUCGGAGGCAUCUGGGAUGGACCAUCACACAGUGGAAACGUGUACUGUGGUCAGAUGAAUCAGUAUUUCAGGUAUUUUUUGGGAGAAAUGGACGCCGUGUGCUCCGGACCAAAGAAGAAAAGGAUCAUCCAGACUGUUACCAGCAACAAGUCCAAAAGCCAGGGUCUGUCAUGGUAUGGGUUUGUGUCAGUGCCCUUGGCAAAGGUAACUUGCACUUCUGUGAUGGCACCAUUAAUGCUGAAAAUUACAUAAAGAUUUUGGAGCACAAUAUGCUGCCUUCAAGAAGACAUCUUUUCCAGGGACGUCCAUGCAUAUUUCAACAAGAUAAUGCAAAACCACAUUCUGCACACAUUACA